ACCGCCUCCGAUCAGAACGGAAUUUGUCAGGCCAUCCUGGGAACCCGUUACAUCGUGUUAGGAGCCCAACCAUUACCCCGUGCAUUCCAUCUACUUUAGGAGAAAGCAGAAAAGCCAGGGCACGUCAACCCCGAAACAUCCAGGAAUCGCACAGAUUCCAUUGACGCAUCAGCCACACCGCAACUGACUUACCCGUCCCAAUGACAACAGCAGUCGAGCGCCGAAACCUGAAAUAAGUCCGUCCACCAAAACACCCCACCACUUGCCGACAACUGUAACAUGAACAGGAAGCCGAGC